UUAUCAUGACUGUAUCAGACUUGUUAGAACAACCUUGUAGCAAGUGUGAUAAUGCCAUCAAACUUGAUACAAGUUGUUAACAACUUGUAACAAGCUUGUUGAUAUUAUCACACUUGUUGCAAGGUUGUUCCAACAAGUCCGAUGCAGUCAUGGUAU